rnacentral:rRNA from 1 species
CCACGCCGUAAACGAUGAAUACUAGGUGUCGGGGGGUACCACCCUCGGUGCCGCAGCAAACGCAUUAAGUAUUCCGCCUGGGGAGUACGGUCGCAAGAUUAAAACUCAAAGGAAUUGACGGGGACCCGCACAAGCAGCGGAGCAUGUGGUUUAAUUCGAAGCAACGCGAAGAACCUUACCUAGACUUGACAUCUCCUGAAUUACUCUUAAUCGAGGAAGUCCCUUCGGGGACAGGAAGACAGGUGGUGCAUGGUUGUCGUCAGCUCGUGUCGUGAGAUGUUGGGUUAAGUCCCGCAACGAGCGCAACCCUUAUUGUUAGUUGCUACUAUUAAGUUAAGCACUCUAACGAGACUGCCGCGGUUAACGUGGAGGAAGGUGGGGAUGACGUCAAAUCAUCAUGCCCCUUAUGUCUAGGGCUACACACGUGCUACAAUGGCUGGUACAACGAGCAGCAAACCCGCGAGGGGGAGCAAAACUUGAAAGCCAGUCCCAGUUCGGAUUGUAGGCUGAAACUCGCCUACAUGAAGUUGGAGUUGCUAGUAAUCGCGAAUCAGCAUGUCGCGGUGAAUACGUUCCCGGGUCUUGUACACACCGCCCGUCACACCAUGAGAGCCGGUAACACCCGAAGCCCGUGAGGUAACCGUAAGGAGCCAGCGGUCGAAGGUGGGAUUGGUGAUUGGGGUGAAGUCGUAACAAGGUAGCCGUAGGAGAACCUGCGGCUGGAUCACCUCCUUUCUA